rnacentral:rRNA from 1 species
UACGUAGGUGGCAAGCGUUAUCCGGAAUUAUUGGGCGUAAAGAGCUCGUAGGCGGUUCGGCAAGUCGGAUGUGAAAUCUCCACGCUUAACGUGGAGGGGCCAUUCGAAACUGCUGUGACUCGAGUCCGGUAGGGGAGUGUGGAAUUCCCGGUGUAGCGGUGAAAUGCGCAGAUAUCGGGAAGAACACCCGUGGCGAAGGCGGCUCUCUGGGACGGUACUGACGCUGAGACGCGAAAGCGUGGGGAGCGAACAGG